rnacentral:rRNA from 1 species
GACCAGACUCCUACGGGAGGCAGCAGUGGGGGAUAUUGCACAAUGGGGGAAACCCUGAUGCAGCGACGCCGCGUGAGUGAAGAAGUAUUUCGGUAUGUAAAGCUCUAUCAGCAGGGAAGAAGAAAGACGGUACCUGAGUAAGAAGCCCCGACUAACUACGUGCCAGCAGCCGCGGUAAUACGUAGGGGGCAAGCGUUAUCCGGAUUUACUGGGUGUAAAGGGAGCGUAGACGGUAUGGCAAGUCUGAAGUGAAAGCCCCGGGCUCAACCUGGGAACUGCUUUGGAAACUGUUAAACUAGAGUGCUGGAGAGGCAGGCGGAAUUCCUAGUGUAGCGGUGAAAUGCGUAGAUAUUAGGAAGAACACCAGUGGCGAAGGCGGCUUGCUGGACAGUAACUGACGUUGAGGCUCGAAAGCGUGGGGAGCAAACAGGAUUAGAUACCCUCGUA